rnacentral:rRNA from 1 species
AUCUUCCGCAAUGGGCGCAAGCCUGACGGAGCAACGCCGCGUGAGUGAAGAAGGUUUUCGGAUCGUAAAGCUCUGUUGCCAAGGAAGAACGGCAGAGGGAGUAACUGCCCUAUGUUUGACGGUACUUGAGAAGAAAGCCACGGCUAACUACGUGCCAGCAGCCGCGGUAAUACGUAGGGGGCAAGCGUUGUCCGGAAUUAUUGGGCGUAAAGCGCGCGCAGGCGGCUGUUUAAGUCUGGUGUUUAAGCCCGAGGCUCAACCUCGGUUCGCACCGGAAACUGGAUGGCUUGAGUGCAGGAGAGGGAAGUGGAAUUCCACGUGUAGCGGUGAAAUGCGUAGAGAUGUGGAGGAACACCAGUGGCGAAGGCGACUUUCUGGCCUGUAACUGACGCUGAGGCGCGAAAGCGUGGGGAGCAAACAGG